rnacentral:rRNA from 1 species
UUCCGGUUGAUCCUGCCGGAGGCCAUUGCUAUCGGAGUCCGAUUUAGCCAUGCUAGUCGCACGGGUUUAGACCCGUGGCAAAUAGCUCAGUAACACGUGGUCAAACUGCCCUGUGGACACGGAUAACCUCGGGAAACUGAGGCUAAUCUGUGAUACAGCUCUCACGCUGGAUUUGCAGAGAGCUGGAAACGCUCCGGCACCACAGGAUGUGACUGCGGCCGAUUAGGUAGACGGUGGGGUAAUGGCCCACCGUGCCGAUAAUCGGUACGGGUUGUGAGAGCAAGAACCCGGAGACGGAAUCUGAGACAAGAUUCCGGGCCCUACGGGGCGCAGCAGGCGCGAAACCUUUACACUGCACGACAGUGCGAUAGGGGGACUCCGAGUGCGAGGGCAUACAGUCCUCGCUUUUCUGUACCAUAAGGUGGUACAGGAACAAGUGCUGGGCAAGACCGGUGCCAGCCGCCGCGGUAAGGGCGA